AUUCCCAUCACGGCUCUUUACUUUCUUUCCCUUCCUCAUCAGUUUCUUCACCCUUGCCACAGGGUCUUGGUGCGCAGACAGUAAUGUACGGACUCUUCUCUUGGGAAAGGCACUUUGGAUCUCUCUCAAGAUUUUCUCACUUUUGUUCUCAAGCAGUCUCAUCUUCACUGCACGGCGGAGGUGGCAGCUGCAGUGGAGGCUGCAACGAAGACCACAUACUGCCGGGGAAGCAGGAGGCUUGUAGGCACUGGAGUUGAGAGUCAGCUUUUUUAGGUCCUUUGCUAAGUGUUCUGGCUGUGAGAUUCAAGAUUCAUCCGAGGAGUCUUGUUCAUCUGACUGAGGAUAUUCUGGGUUCAGGAGUGGGUCGAACUCUGAUGGAUCCUCCAUGACAGUGGGCAGAAUCCUUGAAAGUUAGCUUCAGACUAGUUAGUUUUGGAAAAGAUAGAGACCCAAUCUCACUAGCAGAGGCAAAGUCUUGAUUUUAAAUGUGAGUGUUUGGGUAUAUAUAAUGUAAAUCAAUUUUAUAGGUCAAUUUCAUGUACUAAUACUUUGCUAAAAGAACAGGUCAUUUCUAAAAGUUAUCUGGUGGAAUUUUGGUGAUUUCUUAUGAAUAAUAUAUCAUAUUCAAAUAGGAAUAAUUUGACUCCUUCCAGUUUGUAUUCUUUAAUUUCCUUCUCUUGUCUCUAACUAGGGCACUAUACUGAAAAGGACUGGGUAAUAAUAAAAACUCUGCCUCAUUCUUGACAUUAAUAUAAUGCUUUGGGGUCUUCAUUAUUUAGGUUUAUGUUGGCUAGAGAUUUAUUGUAUACAGCUUCUACUAUGUUAUAGUAUGUUCCCUCCAGUCCUACUCUUUCUAGGACUUCUAUAAAGAUAGAAUGUUGGAUUUUGUCAAAGGCCUUUUCUAUACCUCUUUAGAUGAUCGUAUGAUUUGUCUUUAAGGUAGUUUAUAUGGCUUGUUGCAUUUAUUGAGUCACAUAUGUUGAAUCAUUCUUGCUAUGAUUUUUCUAUUAUUUCUUGCCAUCUACUACUGGAUUUGGUUCGGUUUUAUUUUUCCAAAUUGCUGAGUUGCAUCAUGAAGUUAUUUGUGUUCUUUCUGAUGUUUUAAUGUAGACUGUUGGAGCUAUAAACAUUCCUCUUGAUAAUGUUUUUAAUGUGUUCCAGAGGCUUUGUUAUUCUGUGUUUUCACUUUCUUUCAUUUAAUUUCAGGAAGCCAAAAUUAUUCUUUCUUGACUUGUUCUUUGAAUCAAAUAUGAUUCUGACUGAAGUAACCCAGAUGGAGGAAAAAAAAAUGUCACACAUUCUUUCUUAUUUCUAGAUAUAGGCUCUUAAUCUUUAUUUACAUAUGUAACCUGGAGCAAUUGCGGAAACCAGGAAAGGGAAGAAGGUACACAGUGUGGGAGAUAGGGGUGAUAUUCUAGAAAUGAGGCUAGUAGAAGACAGAUGCAUGGAAGAGAAAAAUUUAAAAACAUGGAACAUUUUAACCAGGAAAGGGACAGCAAGGGCAAUGCAAAGGGUAAAGCAGGGAAGUGGGAUAAGCAAUGUGAAGGACGCUUGAAAAAGCCACAGGGAAACUUUCUUUAUGUUUCCUUUAAAUAGAUGUAUGGACACCUGUUCAUAGUUUAGAUUUCUUCUCUUCUACUCUCUUUGGUAUUAUUUGUUCUUGCUGUUCUAUAACUCUCAGGUGUGUCAUUAAAUCACUAAUGAGAUUUUCCAGUUGUUUAAUGUGGGCCCUUUGUGUCAUGAACUUGCCACUAAGAAAUGCCUUCACUUGUGUCACACAGGUUUGGCUAUAAUGUGUUUUCAUCUUCAUUCAGUUCUGCACAGUUCUUUAUUUUCUUCUUGACUGCUGUCUUAAUUUUUGUUUAGUAGUAGUUGUUCAUUUUCCAAGAGUUUUUACACUUACUGCUCUUUCUGUUGUUUUUGAAAUCCAUGGGUGGUCAGAUAGAAUGCAAGGUAUUAUUUCAAUUUUCUUGUAUCUGUGAGGACUUCCUUUAUAUCCAAGUAUGUGGUCAAUUUUAGAGAAAAUCUACAAACUGCUGAGAGAAAGUAUAUUCUAGAACUAUACUAUUCAAGGUGUUUCUUCAUAGAAAUGUCUGGUCUGGUCUUGGCUGAGUGGGUGUUCUGCUUAGGUUGCUUUUCCCACUCUGGAUCCCAGACAAUUUUGGUAGAUAGGAAAAACAAAGUGUUUCUAUGGCUCAAUGGUAACACAGAGAAACAGAAACGGUCUAGGCUGAGAGAACAGCAGGACAGAACCAGACAACUCUAGGACUGCAUCAAGAGAUCGAGUCCCCAGGGAACGGAAAUAAGGACUCAAGAACCUUGGAAUCCCAAGAGGUGCACUCAAGACCAUGAUCCAUAUCCAUAACAUUUGGAAGGGAAAGAAAAUAAAAAUACCUAUCUUCAAGAAGUCAAAAGACAUUGGACAUCUAGGCAUCUAAAGAAGAAAGGAGAACUGUUUGGAAAAAAAUUACCAAGCAAACAGAAAUCUGAUCUGGUGGUACUAAAAUUCUCUACAGGGUAAAAACCUCACUACCUAAAAAUUAAUAUCUCUUUAUUUUUUCAAAAAGAAUGAAGUCCUGACUCAAUUAGCAAAGCUGGCUUUGCUGUUGGAGCACGGCUCUCCCUUUCUCUAAAUCUAAGCACGUUG